CUUUUGGCCUUUCUCCUGGAGGCUACAGCCCCUCUUUCCAUCACUAAGCCAUUCUCUUCUUUUGCCGCCGCCACGAUGGCUGGACUGAGCCGACUGGGAUUAGCCACAGCGUCCCCUGCUCUCCACCGCCUCGGAAUGCUUGCUAGCACCCGUGCUUAUGGAUCGGCGGCUGCGGUUCAAUACGACUAUGAUUACGACUUCGACGACGAUCAUUCGGAGGAAGUAGGAAGCAGAAAGCUGAAUCGGGAUUCGCGCCUGCCGGGGCCAAGGCUAGACUCCGCGGCGUCGUCGGACUGGGGGCGAGGAGUGCAGUGGGUGUUGAUAGGGGACCCAGGAGCUCAAAAGCACGUGUACGCAGAAAAGCUUUCGAAGCUUCUACAAGUUCC
rnacentral:misc_RNA from 1 species